GACAGAGGGUGCAAACGUUGCUCGGAAUUACGGGGCGUAAAGGGCGUGUAGGCGGGGAGGCAAGUCGGGCGUGAAAUCCCCAGGCUCAACCUGGGAACUGCACUCGAAACUGCCUUUCUUGAGUGCCGGAGAGGAAAGCGGAAUUCCUGGUGUAGAGGUGAAAUUCGUAGAUAUCAGGAGGAACACCAGUGGCGAAGGCGGCUUUCUGGACGGUAACUGACGCUGAGACGCGAAAGCGUGGGGAGCAAACAGG
rnacentral:rRNA from 1 species